GGGUAACAGAAAGAAGACACCAGCGUGACCCAUUUCCUUCUACCCUAACUCAAAGCCAGUUGAGCUCUUAGUGAGCAGCACUACCGACGUUGCCCAUACCAUACGUCGGGGACAGAAUGGGAUGAGCAACGAGCAACAUGCGUGCUUUGCUUCUACCACGCGCACAUGUAGAACCAGACAAAUUACAACCCACCAGGUUUGUUUCCUCUGCUAACGAUCAGUUCUCACCGCUUUAUACGCGACCCAGGAGCUUUGUGGAACCAAUGCAACCCAAACUUUCCCCCUGGUGGACCGGCAGAAAGAGAACUCUCUUGAGAUACUCGGGGUAGUAGAUGCUUCUUCAUAAAUACCGAGGGUACUCUAUAACUGGGUUGAUAGAAAGUGUCCUUGGGAGGGGCGAACCAAUAUCUAGAUUAUCAACACCUGGCAAGCAGGAUUUACACAUUAUCCCUCUUUCAGUCUUAGACUUUAUAAAUUUCAUGAGCUGUGAACAUGGCAAGGGAGAGAUACCUUCUCAUGCCAGGCUCUUAAGUUUUCCUCUUGUACCUCACUAUCCACUCACACCCAAAACUCACACCUCACCAUCCAGCCUUCAUGAUCUGUGUUCUUCAUUUACCUCUCGCCAGGAGUAAACCUUUCAGACAAAGAAAUGUGGCCUUCCAGGUUCCUACUCCCUUCAAGAAAGUGAGCAAGUGCUUAUUAUGAUAGGGGACAGUGGCUAACAAAAUAGCAUCCUGAUAAAACACAGAAAAUACUGUAACAAAAUACCUGAGACCCCAUAACACGUCAACCACAUCAUGUUACUACUCACAGUUCUGGGCUAGGGAGUCCACCAUCUAGACUUGCCAGCAGGUUUAGAAUCAGAUGAAGGACUGGUUUCUAUCUCGGGUGAUGUUUUGACUGUUUCUUCCUCACGAGGGAAAGUGCUUAUGUGCUGGAACAUCUCUUGUCUAAGAACUUGAUUCUGUUCACCAGAGAAGAACCUUCAUCAUGUUAUCAGCACCUCAGGCCUCUACCUGUCGAUGCCCUGGUACUGGUUCAGGUUUCACCAUGAAGCCUGGAGGGACAUGAGCAUUCAAGGCCACCAUGAACUGCUCUCAAACCCUAGCAUGGCACAUUACCUGCAAAUUUAAGCAAAGAUUCAGGAGUUCUCAGGACCAAUGUACCAUGUUCUGUGAAUCUAGGUAACCCAUAAGCAUUUAUGUUUCCAACCUGAUGUUCAUUUUGCUGGUGGAGAACUGCACUUUGGGAAAUGGAGGGGGGUGGGGGAGGAGCUUUUCUGCUCUUGGUUCUUUUGCCUCUUCACGCCUCACACCUGCCCAGCAACUCCAGCAGGUGAACAAUACUACCUGUGCUAUGGUUUGUCAUUCAGGACACAUUCACGCCCUCCUUCCCAGCCGCAGCCCUCUGCCAGGAAUACUCCCCUCCGCCAAGCUUGGUUCUGUCUCUCCACCACUGUAUCCAGCUAACUUUUCCUCAUCUCCUAAGAGGAUGCUUCCUCAGCAUCUUCACCAAAUACCUGCAGGACCCACACCUAAAUUUGGGUGCCACUCCCCUGUGACGUCUCUGUGCCCACCUGUCACACGUUAGGCACUGUAAUAAGAUGCUUAUUUAUCUCCCUAGACUGUAUGCAUGCUGACAGGAGCCUAUAUUGCCCCCUUAUCCAAGUGCCCAACCCCUAACUCAGUGGGUGGGACACAGCCGCUAGAAUGAGAAAGUAGAGGAAGAGAGACUAAUCUUUGGUGGUUGAUGUGGAACACAUUGCUAACCAAAGUCAAAACUAGUAAUAAUGUUAGGAAGGGCAGGGAGUUGAAGAGGACAUCAGUGCCUCUGAACUGCUAGUACAUAUCAGGUAGGGGUAAAAUGCUCGGCAGGUUAUCUGUGCGUUCCUCCAAACUUCUUUGCAAGGUAAUUAUAUCUGAGAAAGCUAAGGCCUGAAAGUUAAGUAGCUUGUUCGGUGUCUCUUGGCUGCUAAGGAGGUGGAGGUGGAGCAAUAACCUUUAUAAUAAGCAGGUGGUUUUUCCAUAGGCGUGACGUGAGAUGUGACGUCUGUUCGUAUUCAUGAGUGUCUCAUGACUUUAAUUCAUGCCACUUAAGCUCUGCCACCCUACCCAGAAAGGGUCUGCUGUGGUGGGUAGCUUGCAUCCUGGGGUGGAAGGCUCUGUGAUUUCAUGGCAGUUCCCUGACUCAACAGUCUUGUGCUGUCGACUCUUCCCAGGCUCACGGAAGGGGUGCCUGGGGCUGCUGCUUGUAAUUUCUGUGCAGUCCUGCUCUACCUGGGUUCCAGAUCCUGAAUACAGUGGAACUUUCUGGGCCAAUCAGACCAGACAGGCCGCUCCUACUCUCCUUGUUGAUAACCUUGGCAUCCUAGAUGAAGAUGCGUGCGCAAGACAAGUCAGCUGUGGUUCUUGAAUAUCUGGGCUCAUCAGUGCUCAGAAUUACACUUCACCCUCCCAAAGCUCGGAUGACAUCAUCAUUGCUGGCCUACUGAACAGCAGCAUUGUGAGUCGUCUAGAAGGACAGACUUAAGAACUGUAAGCAGUUAAAUGAACUCAUCACAUGAGCCUAUCUCAGAGUACCACUGAUUAUUGCUUUUCCAUAUUUUGAAAUAUGACAGUGGAUUAUAAGUCUCCACAGUAUGGAGACCAGCGAUGCACAGCCUUUGAAACCAUAGGGCCCUUUGGAUUUGUAUGUACUUUACCAUUUAAUGAUGGUAAAGUACAUACAUACAUCAUUAAAUCACUUUACCUAUUUUUUCAUGAAUUUUUUUUGCACAACAAUGUCCAUUAUGUUAAAUUUAUAUGAAUGUUGAUCACAUUUAUUCAUGCUAUGGGCUAAAAAAUAGCCCUGUGUUAAUCUCACCUGAGAUGUCAGACCUAAGUCAUGAAAUACAAGAAAGAUGGCAUCUGCUUUACACUUAUGAUUAGAAUUCCCCCAGACACAAACAUGUCCACAAGUAACCAGUAAAACAGAGUUUAAAUAAUCUGAAUAUAUUCCUCAACCGUGGUGUUUUUCUUUUUUUUUUUCCAGGGGAGGGGGGUGGCAGUUCAAGAUAGUGUUUCUCUGUAUAACAGCUCUAGUUGUCCUGGAACUUACUCUGUAGACCAGGCUGGCCUCAAAUUCCACAGAGAUCUGCCUGCCUCUGCCUCAGCCUCAGCCUCCUGGAGUGUUGGGAUUAAAGGCAUGUGCCACCACUGCCCAGCUAACCUUGUUUUUCUUAACAAUCUUCUAGUAAUAAAAGAAAAUAUUUUUA